rnacentral:rRNA from 1 species
UACGUAGGGGGCUAGCGUUGUCCGGAAUCAUUGGGCGUAAAGAGCGUGUAGGCGGUCCGGUAAGUCCGCUGUGAAAGUCGGGGGCUCAACCCUCGAAUGCCGGUGGAUACUGUCGGGCUAGAGUGCGGAAGAGGCGAGUGGAAUUCCUGGUGUAGCGGUGAAAUGCGCAGAUAUCGGGAGGAACACCGGUGGCGAAGGCGGGUCUCUGGGCCGAUACUGACGCUGAGGAGCGAAAGCGUGGGGAGCGAACAGG